CAGGCUUAACACAUGCAAGUCGAGGGGCAGCAUGGUCUUAGCUUGCUAAGGCCGAUGGCGACCGGCGCACGGGUGAGUAACACGUAUCCAACCUGCCGUCUACUCUUGGACAGCCUUCUGAAAGGAAGAUUAAUACAAGAUGGCAUCAUGAGUCCACAUGUUCACAUGAUUAAAGGUAUUCCGGUAGACGAUGGGGAUGCGUUCCAUUAGAUAGUAGGCGGGGUAACGGCCCACCUAGUCUUCGAUGGAUAGGGGUUCUGAGAGGAAGGUCCCCCACAUUGGAACUGAGACACGGUCCAAACUCCUACGGGAGGCAGCAGUGAGGAAUAUUGGUCAAUGGGCGAGAGCCUGAACCAGCCAAGUAGCGUGAAGGAUGACUGCCCUAUGGGUUGUAAACUUCUUUUAUAAAGGAAUAAAGUCGGGUAUGGAUACCCGUUUGCAUGUACUUUAUGAAUAAGGAUCGGCUAACUCCGUGCCAGCAGCCGCGGUAAUACGGAGGAUCCGAGCGUUAUCCGGAUUUAUUGGGUUUAAAGGGAGCGUAGAUGGAUGUUUAAGUCAGUUGUGAAAGUUUGCGGCUCAACCGUAAAAUUGCAGUUGAUACUGGAUAUCUUGAGUGCAGUUGAGGCAGGCGGAAUUCGUGGUGUAGCGGUGAAAUGCUUAGAUAUCACGAAGAACUCCGAUUGCGAAGGCAGCCUGCUAAGCUGCAACUGACAUUGAGGCUCGAAAGUGUGGGUAUCAAACAGGAUUAGAUACCCUGGUAGUCCACACGGUAAACGAUGAAUACUCGCUGUUUGCGAUAUACAGCAAGCGGCCAAGCGAAAGCGUUAAGUAUUCCACCUGGGGAGUACGCCGGCAACGGUGAAACUCAAAGGAAUUGACGGGGGCCCGCACAAGCGGAGGAACAUGUGGUUUAAUUCGAUGAUACGCGAGGAACCUUACCCGGGCUUAAAUUGCAGAUGAAUUACGGUGAAAGCCGUAAGCCGCAAGGCAUCUGUGAAGGUGCUGCAUGGUUGUCGUCAGCUCGUGCCGUGAGGUGUCGGCUUAAGUGCCAUAACGAGCGCAACCCUUGUUGUCAGUUACUAACAGGUUCCGCUGAGGACUCUGACAAGACUGCCAUCGUAAGAUGUGAGGAAGGUGGGGAUGACGUCAAAUCAGCACGGCCCUUACGUCCGGGGCUACACACGUGUUACAAUGGGGGGUACAGAGGGCCGCUACCACGCGAGUGGAUGCCAAUCCCAAAAACCUCUCUCAGUUCGGACUGGAGUCUGCAACCCGACUCCACGAAGCUGGAUUCGCUAGUAAUCGCGCAUCAGCCACGGCGCGGUGAAUACGUUCCCGGGCCUUGUACACACCGCCCGUCAAGCCAUGGGAGCCGGGGGUACCUGAAGUGCGUAACCGCGAGGAGCGCCCUAGGGUAAAACUGGUGACUGGGGC
rnacentral:rRNA from 1 species